rnacentral:rRNA from 1 species
AACGAACGCUGGCGGCAGGCUUAACACAUGCAAGUCGAACGCCCCGCCAGGGGAGUGGCCGACGGGUGAGUAACGCGUGGGAACAUACCCUUUUCUACGGAAUAGCUCUGGGAAACUGGAAUUAAUACCGUAUACGCCCUACGGGGGAAAGAUUUAUCGGGGAAGGAUUGGCCCGCGUUGGAUUAGCUAGUUGGUGGGGUAAAGGCCUACCAAGGCGACGAUCCAUAGCUGGUCUGAGAGGAUGAUCAGCCACAUUGGGACUGAGACACGGCCCAAACUCCUACGGGAGGCAGCAGUGGGGAAUAUUGGACAAUGGGCGCAAGCCUGAUCCAGCCAUGCCGCGUGAGUGAUGAAGGCCUUAGGGUUGUAAAGCUCUUUCACCGAUGAAGAUAAUGACGGUAGUCGGAGAAGAAGCCCCGGCUAACUUCGUG